CAGGCCUAACACAUGCAAGUCGAACGAUGAAGCCUAGCUUGCUAGGUGGAUUAGUGGCGAACGGGUGAGUAAUACGUGAGUAACCUACCUUUAACUCUGGGAUAAGCCUGGGAAACUGGGUCUAAUACCGGAUACGACCAAUCUCCGCAUGGGGUGUUGGUGGAAAGCGUUAUGUAGUGGUUAUAGAUGGGCUCACGGCCUAUCAGCUUGUUGGUGAGGUAACGGCUCACCAAGGCGACGACGGGUAGCCGGCCUGAGAGGGUGACCGGCCACACUGGGACUGAGACACGCCCCAGACUCCUACGGGAGGCAGCAGUGGGGAAUAUUGCACAAUGGGCGCAAGCCUGAUGCAGCGACGCCGCGUGAGGGAUGACGGCCUUCGGGUUGUAAACCUCUGUUAGCAGGGAAGAAGAGAGAUUGACGGUACCUGCAGAGAAAGCGCCGGCUAACUACGUGCCAGCAGCCGCGGUAAUACGUAGGGCGCGAGCGUUGUCCGGAAUUAUUGGGCGUAAAGAGCUUGUAGGCGGUUUGUCGCGUCUGCUGUGAAAGGCCGGAGCUUAACUCCGUGUAUUGCAGUGGGUACGGGCAGACUAGAGUGCAGUAGGGGAGACUGGAAUUCCUGGUGUAGCGGUGGAAUGCGCAGAUAUCAGGAGGAACACCGAUGGCGAAGGCAGGUCUCUGGGCUGUAACUGACGCUGAGAAGCGAAAGCAUGGGGAGCGAACAGGAUUAGAUACCCUGGUAGUCCAUGC
rnacentral:rRNA from 1 species